rnacentral:rRNA from 1 species
GACUCUCGACAAUGGAUAUCUCGGCUCUCGCAUCGAUGAAGAACGUAGCAAAAUGUGAUACUUGGUGUGAAUUGCAGAAUCCCGUGAACCAUCGAGUCUUUGAACGGAAGUUGCGCCCCGAGCCUUCUGGCCAAGGGCACGUCUGCCUGGGUGUCA